rfam:Pongo abelii chromosome 12.
CUGCUCACUUUGGCAACACGUAUACUAACAUUGGAAUGACACAGAGAUUAGCAUGGCCCCUCCACAAGGAUGACACGCACAUUCAUGAAGCAUUCCAUUUUUUC